UAGUGGCGAACGGGUGAGUAACACGUGGGCAAUCUGCCCUUCACUCUGGGACAAGCCCUGGAAACGGGGUCUAAUACCGGAUAACACCUGCCCGGGCAUCCGGGUGGGUUAAAAGCUCCGGCGGUGAAGGAUGAGCCCGCGGCCUAUCAGCUUGUUGGUGAGGUAGUGGCUCACCAAGGCGACGACGGGUAGCCGGCCUGAGAGGGCGACCGGCCACACUGGGACUGAGACACGGCCCAGACUCCUACGGGAGGCAGCAGUGGGGAAUAUUGCACAAUGGGCGAAAGCCUGAUGCAGCGACGCCGCGUGAGGGAUGACGGCCUUCGGGUUGUAAACCUCUUUCAGCAGGGAAGAAGCGAAAGUGACGGUACCUGCAGAAGAAGCGCCGGCUAACUACGUGCCAGCAGCCGCGGUAAUACGUAGGGCGCAAGCGUUGUCCGGAAUUAUUGGGCGUAAAGAGCUCGUAGGCGGCUUGUCACGUCGGGUGUGAAAGCCCGGGGCUUAACCCCGGGUCUGC
rnacentral:rRNA from 1 species